rnacentral:rRNA from 1 species
UCAUGACGAACGCUGGCGGCGUGCCUAAUACAUGCAAGUAGAACGCUGAAGAGAGGAGCUUGCUCUUCUUGGAUGAGUUGCGAACGGGUGAGUAACGCGUAGGUAACCUGCCUUGUAGCGGGGGAUAACUAUUGGAAACGAUAGCUAAUACCGCAUAACAAUAGGUGACACAUGUCAUUUAUUUGAAAGGGGCAAUUGCUCCACUACAAGAUGGACCUGCGUUGUAUUAGCUAGUAGGUGAGGUAACGGCUCACCUAGGCGACGAUACAUAGCCGACCUGAGAGGGUGAUCGGCCACACUGGGACUGAGACACGGCCCAGACUCCUACGGGAGGCAGCAGUAGGGAAUCUUCGGCAAUGGGGGCAACCCUGACCGAGCAACGCCGCGUGAGUGAAGAAGGUUUUCGGAUCGUAAAGCUCUGUUGUAAGUCAAGAACGAGUGUGAGAGUGGAAAGUUCACACUGUGACGGUAGCUUACCAGAAAGGGACGGCUAACUACGUGCCAGCAGCCGCGGUAAUACGUAGGUCCCGAGCGUUGUCCGGAUUUAUUGGGCGUAAAGCGAGCGCAGGCGGUUUGAUAAGUCUGAAGUUAAAGGCUGUGGCUCAACCAUAGUUCGCUUUGGAAACUGUCAAACUUGAGUGCAGAAGGGGAGAGUGGAAUUCCAUGUGUAGCGGUGAAAUGCGUAGAUAUAUGGAGGAACACCGGUGGCGAAAGCGGCUCUCUGGUCUGUAACUGACGCUGAGGCUCGAAAGCGUGGGGAGCGAACAGGAUUAGAUACCCUGGUAGUCCACGCCGUAAACGAUGAGUGCUAGGUGUUGGAUCCUUUCCGGGAUUCAGUGCCGCAGCUAACGCAUUAAGCACUCCGCCUGGGGAGUACGACCGCAAGGUUGAAACUCAAAGGAAUUGACGGGGGCCCGCACAAGCGGUGGAGCAUGUGGUUUAAUUCGAAGCAACGCGAAGAACCUUACCAGGUCUUGACAUCCCGAUGCUAUUUCUAGAGAUAGAAAGUUACUUCGGUACAUCGGUGACAGGUGGUGCAUGGUUGUCGUCAGCUCGUGUCGUGAGAUGUUGGGUUAAGUCCCGCAACGAGCGCAACCCCUAUUGUUAGUUGCCAUCAUUCAGUUGGGCACUCUAGCGAGACUGCCGGUAAUAAACCGGAGGAAGGUGGGGAUGACGUCAAAUCAUCAUGCCCCUUAUGACCUGGGCUACACACGUGCUACAAUGGUUGGUACAACGAGUUGCGAGUCGGUGACGGCAAGCUAAUCUCUUAAAGCCAAUCUCAGUUCGGAUUGUAGGCUGCAACUCGCCUACAUGAAGUCGGAAUCGCUAGUAAUCGCGGAUCAGCACGCCGCGGUGAAUACGUUCCCGGGCCUUGUACACACCGCCCGUCACACCACGAGAGUUUGUAACACCCGAAGUCGGUGAGGUAACCUUUUGGAGCCAGCCGCCUAAGGUGG